AUGUAGAUGCUGGCGUAGUUGUUGUUCCUGUUACAGUUGUAGAUGGAGUUUCAGUUGUUGUCGGUUCAGCUGUUGUCUGUGAUUCUGAUGUAGAUGCUGGCAUGGGUGAUGUUCCUGUUACAGUUGUAGAUGGAGUUUCAGUUGUUGUUUGUUCAGCUGUUGUCGGUGAUUCUGCUGUAGAUGCUGGCAUAGUUGGUGUUUCUGUUACAGUUGUAGAUUAAGUUUCAGUUGUUGUUUGUUCAGCUGUUGUCGUUGAGUCAGAUGUGGAUGCUGGCAUAGAUGCUGUUCCUGUUACUGUUGGAGAUGUAGUUUCAGGUGAUGUUGGUUCAGAUGUUGUCGUUGAUUCGGAUGUGGAUGCUGGCGUAGAUGAUGUUCCGGUUACAGUUGUAGAUGAAGUGUCAGUUGUUGUUGGUGCAGCUGUUGUCAUUGAUUCUGAUGUAGAUGCUGGCUUUGUUGAUGUUCCUGUUGCAGUGGUAGAUGAAGUUUCUGAGGUUGUUGGUUCAGCUGUUCUCGUUGAUUCAGAUGUAGAUGCUGACAUAGAUGAUGUUCCUGUUGCGGUUGUAGAUGAAGUUACAGUUGUUGUUGGUUGAGCUGUUGUCGUUGAUUCAGCUGUAGAUGCUGGCAUGGAUGGUGUUCCUGUUACAGUUUUAGAUGAAGUUUCAGUUGUUUUUGGUUCAGCUGUUGUUGUUGAUUCAGAUGUGGAUGCUGGCGUAGAUGAUGUUCCGGUUACAGUUGUAGAUGAGGUUUCAGUUGUUGUUUGUUCAGCUGUUGUCGGUGAUUCUGCUGUAGAUGCUGGCAUGGGUGAUGUUCCUGUUACAGUUUUAGAUGAAGUUUCAGCAGUUGUUGGUUCAGCUGUUCUCGUUGAUUCAGAUGUUGAUGCUGCCAUAGUUGAUGUUCCUGUUACAGAUGUAGAUGAAGUUUCAGUUGUUCUUGGUUCAGCUGUUGUUGUUGAUUCAUAUGUAGAUGCUGGCAUAGUUGGUGUUUCUGUUGCAGUUGUAGCUGAAGUUUCAGUUGUUUUUGGUUCAGGUGUUGUUGUUGAUUCAUAUGUAGAUGCUGGCAUGGAUGAUGUUCCUGUUCCAGUUGUAGAUGAAGUGUCAGUUGUUGUUGGUGCAGCUGUUGUCAUUGAUUCGGAUGUAGAUGCUGGCAUGGGUGAUGUUCCUGUUACAGAUGUAGAUGAAGUUUCGGUUGUGGUUGGUUCAGCUGUUGUUGUUGAUUCAUAUGUAGAUGCUGGCAUAGCUGAUGUUCCUGUUACAGAUGUAGAUGAAGUUUCAUUUGUUGUUGGUUCAGUUGUUGUCGUUGAUUCAGCUGUAGAUGCUGGCAUGGGUGAUGUUCCUGUUACUGUUGGAGAUGUAGUUUCAGGUGAUGUUGGUUCAGAUGUUGUCGUUGAUUCAGCUGUAGAUGCUGGCAUAGUUGUUGUUCCUGUUGCAGUGGUAGAUGAAGUUUCAGUUGUGGUUGGUUCAGCUGUUGUCGGUGAUUCUGCUGUAGAUGCUGGCAUGGAUGAUCUUCCUGUUACCGUUGUAGAUGAAGUUACAGUUGUUGUUGGUUCUGCUGUUGUCGUUGAUUCUGAUGUAGAUGCUGGCAUACUUGAUGUUCCUGUUACAGUUGUGGAUGAAGUUUCAGUUGUUCUUGGUUCAGCUGUUGUCGUUGAUUCAGAUGUAGAUGCUGGAAUAGUUUGUGUUUCUGCUACAGUUGUAGAUGUGGUUUCAGUUGUUGUAGAUCAGUGUUGUAUUUGAUCCAGUUGUUGUUUGUGCAGAUGAUUAUGUAAAUAAAAAUAAAACAGCAUAAGGUUAGUAGAUAAAA
ensembl:lncRNA